rnacentral:lncRNA from 1 species
AAGAAAAAGGUGGAAUUAAGCACUAAACGGGGGGUUUCCCCUUUAUUCUCACGCAUGCACUAACAGUGAAAGGGAAAAAGGCUCACUUCUUCUUUCUUAUUCUCUCUUUCCAGCCAGCGGUGGUGGCGGUGGUUCGGGGAUCCUCCGUUCAUGGCGACGGCUUCAGCUUCCAGAAGAGGUGGUGACGGGUUGUGCCUUGCCAGUGGCUUCGCUCCGAGCUUCUGUCUCGUUCUCCGAAUCUCUCGGUGCAAGGGGAAUUGAAAUCCCCCCAACUCCAUUUUUAUCCUCUCCAAUGUCAGUUUUAAAUUGAUGGAGGAAGACAACAACGUCAACCCUCCAAGGCUUUCUCGGCUACGCUGUGGUCUCGAAGCCACCACCCCGAAUUUGAAUUGGGUGAUUCACGAAAGCUCUCUCCGAUGGGUUAUGGUGAUCCCGAAUCGAGUAGUCCUUACUUUAUUAUUCUCUUUCAACUUAUUGCCUUUUACUUGGUUCUCAGUUUUUCUUGAUUUCGUGAACUCAUAUAGUCUUAAUUUAUAUUUUCAGAAUGAUAACCCAUAGCCAUUAAAGGCCGAGCCAAAACGGAUUGAAGAGCACUAAGGAUACGCGCGGGCGUCCUCUCACAGCAGAUUAGAGGAGGGGUAAUUACUCUCUUUUUCUUUUUCAACCCCUAUCUUUUGUAUGAGGCUCACUGGGUUCCAGAUUAAUGAUAAGGGAAUAAUCCAUAUUUUCUAUUAGAAUUUUGCAUAAUCAUAUUAAUGGCAUCAAUUCGCGGAGACAGACAGACUAAAAUAAAGUUCAAUUAUGCUUUUUACAUUCCAAUAUAUGUAUAUGUAUUUCUGUGUUAUGACUGAUUAGCAAUGGUUACGAAAAAAUCCUAUAAGUCUAAUGCAUAAGCCAUAUAAAGUAAGGAACGUUCAUAGGAUUUUUACGGCUUAAGUGCUUACCUGAGUUAUGCUUCUUCCUUUUUAUUCCUCCUGAAUGUGGUCUCCUGCCAUGAUGUAUGAUGUCUUGCGUUUUGUUGCAAUCUCGUUUCUGCUUUCCUGUUUCUGGAUGCCUUACUGCACUAUCUCUUGGCUGAUUUCUCUUAUGAUUAUGUAUGCGUAGCUAUAUUGUGUUCUGGUUUAUAAGCUUUUUCUUUGAUGUAUGUAUCUCACUCUAUGUUCGUGUGUCUCUCUCUGUGCGUGUGUUAUGGGUGGUAGUAUGCUCUGUAUCAAGUGUUUUUCUUCUGUCCGUGUGUGUACUUAUAUAGUCUUCUGAUGCUCCAUAUGAGCCUCUUGAAUUGCCGAAACUGCUACCUGAUGAUUGACUCCUAGGCUGCCCAUUGUGAGCCAUAAAUGGACUGUUUUAUUUUGAUUUAUUCUGGCUAUCAUUGCUAAUUGAUGCUGAUUAAGCACAUGUAACUGCCGAUAGAUUCUUUUAGUUUGCCUAAACUUUAUGAUUGUCUGCUGGAAUACAUAACUGAAACAAAGAAUAUUUGCUAUGAUUACCAGGAAGUGACUGCGAGGGGUUGAUAAUCUGGUGAAGAUCAGCAUCCGUGAGUUCAUAGACCAGGUGGAUAUUCUGGAAACUUCUUCUCUGGAUAGGCGGCAUC